rnacentral:rRNA from 1 species
AAUCUUCCACAAUGGACGAAAGUCUGAUGGAGCAACGCCGCGUGAGCGAAGAAGGUUUUCGGAUCGUAAAGCUCUGUUGUUAGGGAAGAACAAGUAUCGGAGUAACUGCCGGUACCUUGACGGUACCUAACCAGAAAGCCACGGCUAACUACGUGCCAGCAGCCGCGGUAAUACGUACGUUGCAAGCGUUGUCCGGACUUAUUGGGCGUAAAGCGCGCGGAGGCGGGCUUUUAAGUCUGAUGGGAAAGCCCCCGGAUCAACCGGGGAGGGUCAUUGGAAACUGGGAGACUUGAGUGCAGAAGAGAAGAGUGGGAUUCCACGUGUAGCGGUGAAAUGCGUAGAGAUGUGGAGGAACACCAGUGGCGAAGGCGACUCUUUGGUCUGUAACUGACGCUGAGGCGCGAAAGCGUGGGGAGCAAACAG